ACAGCAAUUUCUGCCUACACCUCUGAUCCUAGGCUUUGUUUGGUUUGGUUACGAGACCAUCAAAGUUAACAAGAAACAUAGCAGCACCAAGAUAGAAGAACAACUCUGGUAGCAUAUCACCAAGCAAAGAGGUCAUAUUAAAUGAUUAGUAUUAUAAUUCCUAAUUAUGUGGCACCAAGGCAGGUGAGGGGAGAGAGUUGAUCCGUUGUCAUGGGAAUGAGACUGUUUGCUCACCUCAUGUUUCAUGAACCCCUAAACUUGAAAGCAACACAGUGAGCUAGCUAAUGUUGCAAAAACAAAUCCAUGAGAGCAUACGAUUGUUUCAUAUUGAAAUAGCCUAUCGGUUGUAUAACUUUGUCGGACUGCUCGGUUUGGUAGUCAUCGAGAAUUGGCAGUCAUCGAUUAUUGGCUACAUGAACCGGUGACCCAGCAAAAGCUAUUCAGCUACCAUUAGCAUUAGCUAGCUAGCUACCUAACGUGAGCUAACGAACAUUAACUUUAAUGGUUGCGCGCAUGGUGUGUCAAUGUGUCAAAUACAGUGCUUGCCAUAUUGUAUCCCUGAAAUUACAUGCACGUUUUCAAAUGAGUGAUUGUAGCCCCAAGAUGAAUCAACUAGGCCUAGCAUUAUAAUUACGAGUGUUAGCUUGUGUUGCUAGCUGUUAGUCUAACUGAUGUUGUUUCCAGACUAGAAUGUUAUGGAAAGACCUUGCAAGGUUCCACAGAAGCAGAAACAGUGGAAGCAAACAUAUUAUUGCCACACCCAUAAGGAACCUUCCUACACAAGCAGUAUCACAUCCUGUGAAGGACUCUCCACCUGUGAGAUUGGAAGUGCUCUGUGCAGGAGUUCUGAUCUAUGACCCAGAGAAUCCAGAGACCAGACAGUUCAUUCCUCUCAUCCAGGAGAACCUGCAGAGAGAGGAAAAGGAGAAAAGCAGAGAUGAGGAAACUGAUUAUGGUGAUGAUGGUUCAGACUCCAGUGAUGAAGAUGACUCAGAGGAUUCUGGGAGUGAGGAAGACUCUGUACAGAGCUCAGACAGCUCUUCUUCCCUCUCCUCAUCAUCAAAUUAA
rnacentral:lncRNA from 13 species